rnacentral:rRNA from 1 species
UUAGGAAUCUUGCGCAAUGGGCGAAAGCCUGACGCAGCAACGCCGCGUGGGGGAUGAAGGCUCUCGGGUUGUAAACCCCUUUCAGCAGGGACGAAUCUGACGGUACCUGCAGAAGAAGGACCGGCCAACUACGUGCCAGCAGCCGCGGUAAUACGUAGGGUCCAAGCGUUGUCCGGAUUUAUUGGGCGUAAAGAGCUCGUAGGCGGUUCAGUAAGUCGGAUGUGAAAACUCAGGGCUCAACCCUGAGACGCCAUCCGAUACUGCUGUGACUUGAGUCUGGUAGGGGAGAACGGAAUUCCAGGUGUAGCGGUGAAAUGCGCAGAUAUCUGGAGGAACACCGAUGGCGAAGGCAGUUCUCUGGGCCAGUACUGACGCUGAGGAGCGAAAGCGUGGGGAGCAAACAGG